UACGAAGGGGGCUAGCGUUGCUCGGAAUCACUGGGCGUAAAGCGCACGUAGGCGGCCUGCUAAGUCGGAUGUGAAAUCCCUCGGCUCAACCGAGGAACUGCAUCCGAUACUGGCGGGCUUGAAUCCGGGAGAGGGAUGUGGAAUUCCAGGUGUAGCGGUGAAAUGCGUAGAUAUCUGGAGGAACACCGGUGGCGAAGGCGGCAUCCUGGACCGGUAUUGACGCUGAGGCGCGAAAGCUAGGGGAGCAAACGGG
rnacentral:rRNA from 1 species